AUAUAUUAAUAUAUUUGAUGAUAUUAUUACACCCAAACUGCACACUGUACAGGCUGAAAAUCUUGAGGGUGAUAUUACUAUAGAUGAAAAAUCACAUUUUUCAGUUUUG